CACGUAGGGUGCGAGCGUUGUCCGGAAUUAUUGGGCGUAAAGAGCUCGUAGGCGGCCUGUCGCGUCGACCGUGAAAACCCGCAGCUCAACUGCGGGCUUGCGGUCGAUACGGGCAGACUAGAGUGCGGUAGGGGUGACUGGAAUUCCUGGUGUAGCGGUGGAAUGCGCAGAUAUCAGGAGGAACACCGAUGGCGAAGGCAGGUCACUGGGCCGCAACUGACGCUGAGGAGCGAAAGCAUGGGGAGCGAACAGG
rnacentral:rRNA from 1 species